rnacentral:rRNA from 1 species
GACGAACCGUACAAACGUUAUUCGGAAUUACUGGGCUUAAAGGGUUUGUAGGCGGCCUUGUAAGUCAGGUGUGAAAUCCCUCGGCUCAACCGAGGAAUGGCGCUUGAUACUGCAAGGCUUGAGGGAGACAGGGGUAAGCGGAACUGAUGGUGGAGCGGUGAAAUGCGUUGAUAUCAUCAGGAACACCGGUGGCGAAAGCGGCUUACUGGGUCUCUUCUGACGCUGAGGAACGAAAGCCAGGGGAGCAAACGGG